GAGCGGGGAGCAAGGCCUGCGGGGAGGCGCAGGAUGGACGCGUUGGCUGUCAUGAUGUAGGACCUCCUGACCUAGAACCAUGCCCGGCGCAGGGAGAACAACGAGCUUACGGACCGGGUGCGGGGGCUGCUGUGCGAGAAAGCCUACCUGCUGGCCCGGGAGCGUUCGCCGGCCCACCUGGUGGCUUUCCCUGGACGUUUAACGGCGACUCCGCCCGGCCUCCCGACUUUUUGAUGCAGGCGUUCUCUUACAUGACUUUCUUCGAGGCUAGAUUCUCGAAAGACAUCCUGAAGGUGGCUUUCUUAAUUAGCUGCCUCACCGGCUGGCGGAGCAGUUCGUAGUCGCCUACAUCGAGAGGGAGAGCCCCGUCCUGGCUCAGUACUGGGGCUUCGUGGACGCGCUGUAGCGGGUCUUCGCCGUCGUGGGUAGGAAACAGUCGGGCCGGAUCCCCGGUGUCUGGGGAGCGGCUGCCGGCCGGGCCCGCGCGAGCCGCUUCACUCCUACAAGCCCGGCUCACUAGUUCCAAGCUGCUGGACUUUGACCCUCGCUGGGAAGCUUGAUCGCCGCCUGUUCUCGCCAAUCUCUAUGCCUUUGCACUGCCCAGCAACCCGGUCACUGCCCAGGACCUGUUAAAAGUUGAAUGGACCUCCCAGAAUCACGCCGCUGCCACCGCCGUUUCUAGAGACGGCUUUUGGCCACCUUUGAGAAUCAGGGUCAAACUUGGAAGGGCCUGCAUUUGUCACACUUCCUCGGACACUAAUUUGGAUAGUUCAGGCCCAGAGACGGCUUCCCGGGUUAGUGUGCCUGACAACACUGAAGAAAAAUUGUGACAUUUUCCUUCCCCAGAAUUACUUCGUUUUAUACAUUUCACUUCUCUUCUGAAAUCACAGCAAUGCCAGUUUGCGCCUUUUGGUCUGAGGAACGCAGGCCCUGGCCACUACCAGGAAAAAAACCUUCUGGAUUUCAGCUUUGGCAAGCUUCCUCUGUUUCUGAGACACCUCCAUCACCUGGGUUACAAUCCCAUCCAUGAUUUUCCCCAUCUCCAGGCAUUUUUCAUGGAAAGCUCCUCAUGCUUUUUAAUUCCAGUUUAUCCAUUUGUGUGGCUUUAACCUCCACAUCCAGGUCUUUCUGGCUAAACUGCAGUAUAUCCACAAUGGGGCCAAUGGACACAUAAGGGAGGCCCUAUCACAGGAACACGAACACCCGGAGUCGCUAGAAAUCAGAUUCCACCGGCUUUGCUUCAGGCCGACUUCCUAAGGAAGGCAUGGUAGCAUCACAGAUGCUGUUUGUCUCAGUUUCCUGAGAAGCCAGUUUCUUAGAGCUGUCAUUCAAGAGUGGGUCAAAUUUGAGAUAUAAAAACCUUUCUCAAGGUAGACUCUUUGGCCCCUAUGCCUAGUAUGUCAGCUGGGCCUCUGAAGCUCUCCUCUUUGAGGUCCUGGCAGGCUCUGGCCCCUGUUGAGAAGGGGAAGCAGUCAUGUGAACUCAUGUGCUGGAAGAAUCCACUCUACCCCUUCCCUGGCUUCUCUGCUGCAAUUUUUGUCUUUAAACGUAUUUUCAGUUUCCUUGAUGGAGAACUAUCAAAGCAGUCAAAGCUAUCAAAAUAAAAAAGAAUUCUGAUUGGGUGCAGUGGCUCACACCUGUCAUUCCAGCACUUUGAGAGGCCAAGGUGGGCAGAUCACAUGAGGCCAGGAGUUCAAGACCAGCCUGGCCAACAUGGCAGAAACCCCAUCUCUACUAAAAAUACCAAAAUUAGCCGGGCAUGGUGGAACACACCUGCAAUCCCAGCUACUCGGGAGGCUGAGGCAAGAGAAUCGCUUGAACCUGGGAGGCAGAAGUUGCAGUGAAACAAGUUGGUGCCAAUGCAUUCCAGCCUGGAUGAUGGAGCGAGACUCUGUCUCAAGAAAAAAAAAACAAAAACAAAAACAGAACUCUGCCUCAUAGCGUCUUUUAAGUUAUACACUGGACCUAUCCUUUCCUCACUGACAGACAUUUUAAAAAUUUUUUGGUAAGGCCUAGUUCAUAUAAAAUGUAAUCCAAGCCAAAAGUUAACAAGAAUAAGGGGAGGAAAGGGGACUCCAAUAGCAGAGAAAGGUAUUUACCUGGGAUAUACACUGCAAGAAAAUCAAAGCUAUAAGAAACGUCCAUGAAUAGUAGCCAUAAGGCAUCAGAGUGAUAAAAUUCCUGUCCCUAGGAGGGAAUAUUGGAGUUUGCCAGAGAAACAGAAUGAGAGAGACAGAGAGGUUUAUUGUAGGAAUUGGCUCAUAUGAUUACGGAGGCUGAGAAGACCCACGAUCUGCCAUCUGCAAGCUGGAGAAUCAGGAAAGCUGGAGGUGUAAUUCAGUCAAGUCCAAUGGCCAGAGAAGCAAGUGUACUGAUAUCCAAGAGCAGGAGAAAAUAGAUGUCCCAGAACAAGCAGAGAGGCUGAUUUUGUCCUUCCUCUGCCUUUUUGUUUCAUAUGGGGCACUGAAUGGACUGAUGCCCAUCCACAUUAGUGAGGGUGGAUCUUCUUUACUCAGUCUACCAGUAGAAAUGUCAAUGACUUCCAGAAACACCCUCACCAACACACGUGGAAAUAAUGUUUUACCAGGUAUCUGGGCAUCCCUUGGUUCACUCAAGUUGACACAAAAUUAACCAUCACAGAAGGAGACUGGCCUUACUCUGAAAUUAGGAAACUAAAGAAGUGACCAGAAUGGAGACUAGGUAGAGACAACUAGUUCUCUACCAAACAUGUACAGUUAUUCGUUGGUAUCUGAAGGGGAUUGGUUCCAGGAACUCUCAGGGAUACCAAAAUCUGCAGGUGCUCAAGUCAUUUAUAUAAAAUAUUACAGUAUUUGCAUAUAACCUUUGCACAUCUUCCAUAUACUUUAAAUCAUCUCUACAUUACUUAUAAUAAUGAAUGUGUAAAUGCUAUGAAAAUAGUUACUACACUAUUGUUUAUUUGUAUUUUUAUUGAAUUGUUUUGGGGUGGGGGGCAGCUGUAUCUUUCUUAGUAAUAGAACCCCUGGUUUUAGCUGGGCACAUGACUGCCCUCAAUAAAGAUUAAAGUACCCCAGCCUUCCUUGAGAUUGUGGCCAUGUGACUGAACUUUAGACAGUGAGAUAUAAGCAGAUAUCUUCUGUGGCAGUGUUAGGAAACUAUUAAAGACAGUAAGAACAUUGCCCUUUGCCUUCUUUUUCCUUUCUUCAUUUUUCUGCCUGGAAUGCAAAUGUGAUGGCUAACACCCUAGCAGCCAUUUUAGAUUAUGAAGAUGAGAGUCACUCCCCAGGAAGGGUGGACCUGAAAGCUGGAUUCUAGAUGUGGAAUGACAAUACCAGCCCUGGACUACCUACCUGUAGGCUGUGUGUGUGUGUGUGUGAUUGACAGAGAGAGAGAGAGAUAGAUACCACAAGUAACACAAAGCAUCAUACCUGGGACUGGGAAGGUUAAUGUUUAAACAUUUUAAAUGUGGCAUUGGUUUGUUGAAGACAGUCAAGCAGUAGGUGCUGCAGGCUUUGUUGAGGCUAGAAAGCUGUUGGUCUUUAUUAGGUGAUGGCAAAACAAUGGAUCACAUUUUCAUGUGCUGUGUCUUGGGAGGCAAAUGAUGAGAAUGUAGGAUUGGGGAAAAUGGUAAGGAAAAUCCAAAAUGUUCAUGUUUUCUAACCCCUUCUUGCCAAUCUUAAAAGAAGGACAAACAGGCUAGAUUAAGCAAGUCUACAGUUACAAUUGGAAGGAAACACAGCCGUACUAAGGAAGUACUCUGUCUGUGGCCUGCAGUCUAGUUUGACUAGGUCCUGUAUUUGAGCUUUGAAAGAGUAAAGAAUACAAGUGCUCGUAUACCCCUGAAGUAGUUACCAGCAGUGACUGCAAGGAGGUAAUCUUAUGGGAUGAAACUAUAACUCUGUAUUAACCAUCAUAUAUAGCAUAUAUGUGUAUAUGUAUGUGUGUGUGUGUAUAUGUGUAUAUAAAUAUAUGUGUGUGUAUAUACACACAUGUACACACCCUACAACCCAGUGAUUUCAAAAAAUUAAACAUUUGUUUAGCUCAUGAAUCUGUGGGUUGGGUGAACAUUUCUAUUGGUCUUGGCUGGGCUCACCUGUACCCAGUCAGCUGCAGGGUCUAGCUCUUCUUAUCUUGGCUGGGAUCUCACACAUGUCUAGGAUCAGCUGCUUUACUAGUCUAGGAUUGUCUUGGCUGAGACAGGUGGACUACUCAGUUCUCCUCCACUGCCUUAUCCUUCAGCUGGCCAGCCCAGAAAUGUUGCCAUGUUUACAGCAUAAGAGCAAGCAAGAAAGAAUAAUAUGCAACCACUUUUCCAAGCCUAAGGUGAAAGGGCGGGCAGAACCUGUGGUGUUAGGAGGCAACUCAUACCAGCCCAUGGGUCUACCGUUUAAUUUUCAGAAAUUUGGCAAGCUGAUUGUUAACACAGCUGUUGUUUAAUUUAUGUACUUGUAAUUAAAUAAUUUACAUUAAAACAAA
rnacentral:lncRNA from 1 species